CUCGGGCCCAGAACCAGGGCCGUAUGUCCUCGUGGCGCGCGCGGACCAGCUCGGCGGUCCCGUCACCGAUACGGUAAACAAGCAGCGGCUCUCCAAUAACGCUUGACCUGUAUUCCUAACAUAUAUUUAGCGGCGGAGGGAUAUGAUUUUUCAAACAAUUUGCAAUGGAAACGAGAAGAGAAGCAGAUCGCUCUGGAUUUCUCCUCUAAUUCGAGAUAGAGAUCUUCCAAAAUUUAAUUUUUGACUGUAUCCGGGAUAUGUCAACUACUUUCAUGAGCAUAUCAUUUCGGAAUGAUUUAUUGAAAGGUGGCCUGCUUUUUCCGUCCAAAGCAACAUUUCAAUCGAAAUUUCGAUUAUGACAUUGGGAUAUACUGAUGAGACAGUAUUUUUUAUGCUGAAUUGUACCGAGACAUACGCUACAUUCUUGGCGACGGAGAAGUUACGUCGAAGCGACCGUGCACGGUGAAUCGCUGCUGCAUUCCCAGACAUAACGGGUUGACCGGCACGCAACCAGUAGAUCCAUCCAAAAUUGUCGAAAACUUCACGACUACACGUGUUAUACCGAAAAAUUCCAAGGUCCUUGAGCGAGAAUGACGGAGAAAAAUUUGUCUCGGAAUAAAUCUACAUCGCUUAUUCGAGCGAAUCAAUUGCACACAUUUGCGCGGGCAUCGGACGAUUAAUUACAAGCGAGAUUAUGUUCUAAAGUUACGGCUCAUUAUCGAAGUGCUUAAGCUAAGAUGAAAAUCUAUGGAGAGUAUCGUCAGUGAUUAUAUAAUAAGGCGGUUCAGCAGUUUAAGUGCGUAUCGCAGUUUGAAAGAAUUCAUUCCGCAUACAUUGGAAUAUCUAAUUAAUAUUGAGAUUACAUAAAGAAACGUAUGUAUUUUUACAUUCGCGUAAGUUUUUAACUUUGUAUUUUUUCAACUGUCAUCCAGCUUUAGAGACUGAAAAUAGUAUUAUCUUGCGAGAUCACGAGAUACAUACGAAAUUUUUAAUUGAUUGAGACUUGGUGUGUUCUACUUGUGUUCAAAUAAGCCUGUUGCAUGACUUUGCAACAAAGAUAAUCAGUCGCCAAGAGAGACGCGGGGAAGAUUUUCGGAAAGAAUAACACGGAGAUAAAGUUAUACAAGACCAGAAGAGAUCGGCGAUAAUUUUCUUGGUGGUAUAAGCGCAUAAGAACACAUUCCAUGAGGUUCGAUCGGCGCGGCUGACACUUUUAUGGGGUGUCGCGCGGGGAAACAACCACGUUCGUUUCUUUCUUCCGAUCGAUGAUAACGGUCCGCCCGUGUUCGCUUCGCUGUGAUGAUUACGCGAAAGGAAGCAGAACCAAACAUAAAAUCUCGCGGAAUGCAAUCGACAUAUAAAGACGAUGGCAAAGCGGAGAUAAAUAUUUUGUUACGAUAAAUUUAUCUUUGUAUUAUCGAAUUUCGGACAAAAUUUAUACAUUUACGUUUUCCUUAUCAUUAUUUAUUUAUUUUUUAAAAAUAUAAUAAUAUAAUGUAAUUUUAAAGAAACGAAUCAUGACUCACAAAGGGCUAAUAUAGAAAUUAUACCGAGACUGGAUGUUGCACAAGGCAUAUGACCGCGUGCUGAAUUGUGUUUAUAUUCACAUAGGUAGGCAGAUAGAGCGGCUUUGCGUAUCCUCAUUCGUAACCAAAUACGUCUGUACGCCGACAUGAAUUUCGUAGCCACACCUACGAUCGUACACGGUAUUCAUUACAUGCUCAUAUUCCAUGCGCAGUUUCCAUAGCGGAUGCAAAUGAAAUAUCGAUCGAAGAAAUGUAUUGAAGCGCACCGACAAUGAGUUCAAUUACGCAAUAAUAUUCGACAUACUCUCUUAUAAAUUGCAAAGAUCUUCAUGUGUAAUUUUUAAAGCAAUGCGACAAAAAUUAACUAAAAUUGUUUUUAAUUCUAUUUUUUAUUCUGUUUUAAUUUCUCUUUAAAAAAGUUUACUUCAAUUAUUUUAAUUUUUUCACUACAUAUGUUUAUACGUGCUCUUAUAUAUCUAUAUAAGAGAUUGUCAGAUAAGAUAGUGACAUUAUGUAAGAAAUAAUUUGUGUUAAUAUUGUGAAACAUACUGUAGUCGAGAAGUAUCGAAAAACACGGAUGAGAGAAGAACUUGUAUUCUUCGUUUCUCGUCCGCAAUGCGAGAGGAAAGGGUAGAGAUAAUAAUGUGGUUGCCGAGUGUAUUGCUACCUUCCUGCGUGAACACGCAGUCACAACAGCAGAGAGUAUACUAUACAUGGCAUCUAAAUAAUAUUAUUCGUGCACGUGCAAUGGCGUAGCGGAGUUAUGUAUCCUCUAGUCUUUCUAUGGAUAACAAUUUCACUUUCUUAAUGCAUGUCUUCUCUUCUCGAAACUUUUAACUUUUUUCCUUCAAUAAUUGAUAAAUAUAGAAAUAUCAAAAAUAAAUAGGAUAUAAAUUAUUUAGAUUUAAUUUUAAUUUCAAAUAAAACUUUGACCGCGGAAAAUUAAUUUAAAUAUAAACUACUUGUAUAUCUAUUGUUCAUUACAUGUUUUUAGUGCAUUCUUUUACUGAAGCUGGAUGCGUCUUUGUUUUAUAAUCAAGUUGUAUAGUAACGUGAUUUAAACGGCAUGAGGGAGAUGAAUGUCUCGUCAUUUGGUAUUGUGGAUCACGGCCUCGCGACGGUGGGAGGUAGAUGCGGAAAAAUUCGCGUUCAGGAAGCCGAAGAAAACGAUGACAUCGCAUAUGGGUCAGUAGGACGUCACGUGAAUACGUGAAAUCGCAAGUCAACGACCUGCUUGAUGACCCGCUGACUUAGAGACACGCUUGCUUCGCCUGGGACGCGGAUGAACUCGAGCAACCUAUGUACAUUCCUGGAUGACUCUCGUCUGAAGAAGUACGCAAAACACGAAAAGUAGCAUGGAUCGCUCAGAGGCACUUAUUACGGAAAAGUAAAACACGUCCUGAUAACGUCAAUACUUUAAAAUCGGCUCGAAUGAUUUUUUCGCCAACUUUUUUCUCGAAAUUUUCAAUCUUCGAUAUUAAAAUAUCCGCGUUGAGGAUAAUUAGCGAAAAAGUUUCUCUCGAAGGACCACGUUAUGUAUACCUAUGAUAGAAUUACUUCAGCGUGUGCGUAUUGAGCAAGAUAAGAGGCGGAGAUUUUGCAAGCUGUCGUUUGCAGAUAUUGCAGAGGCCGUUUUUAAAAGUUACCGUGAACCAUGAAGCAGACGCAAAGGAGAAUACCGGAAAUCGCUUACGACACCUUCCUGAUCGCGCGAUAGUUAACGGAAAUCUAGCCGCGGAGUAGUCUAACAGUACUAAAGGUCAUAAAAAAAAUAACGCUCCGUAGCGUAACGUAGUGAAUGAUUUCCAUGAUAAGAUCGCCACGAAUACCUACAUUGUGAAUUGUGCUCGCGCGCACGUGAGAGAGAAGUAUGUACAGGCAGAACUCAAGGUGGAUCCGUGCCAAUGACGUAUUAAUUAACGAAUAAUAUUUUCCUGAAUAUAUGCUAAUAUUUAAAAGUAUAAGCUAUAUAUUUUGAGUUAAGAAAAAAUACGAUUAAAUACAUUACUAUUAAA